GCCGCUGCAGCAGGCCGCCGACGGCCCGGCGCCGCCGCGGGCGUAGGUCAGGCAGGGCCCGACGGCGGAGUUGACCUGGCCGCAGGUGAUGGCCACGGCGGCGUGCGGGGCGGCGAGGAGCAGAGCUGCCACCAGGGCGACCAACACCAACUGUGCACGGGCCAUGCUUCCUAGCUAGUACUGUUGAUCUAGUUGCUGGAUCGAUCGAUCGAUCGGUGCGAAUUGGUUGCUG
rnacentral:misc_RNA from 1 species